CUUAACCUACAGACUGCGUUUGAAACUGUAUAUCUUGAGAGCAGCAGAGGAAGGCGGAAUUCCUGGUGUAGUGGCGAAAUACGUAGAUAUCAGGAAGAACACCAGUGGCGAAGGCGGUCUUCUGGGCUGCAUCUGACGCUCAUGUACGAAAGCUGGGGUAGCGAACGGGAUUAGAUACCCCGGUAGUCCCAGCUGUAAACGAUGGACACUAGGUGUUGGAGGUUCGAAUCCUUCAGUGCCGGAGUUAACGCAUUAAGUGUCCCGCCUGGGGAAUACGGUCGCAAGACUGAAGCUCAAAGGAAUUGACGGGGGCCCGCACAAGCGGUGGAGCAUGUGGUUUAAUUCGAUGCAACGCGAAGAACCUUACCGAGAAUUGACAUCCCGUGACUACCUGUGAGAGCAGGGUUUAGUGUUUACACUACAC
rnacentral:rRNA from 1 species